rnacentral:lncRNA from 1 species
GCCUCCUGUCCAUUACUCGCUCCUAAUUUGCAGCCCAUUCAUCUUCUUGUCCUCCCUAUGAAACCAAUCAAAAUCUUUUGUUUGUCUCCAUCAUCGUCCUCUUUGCAGUUGCAUUCAAGCUGUACGAUCUGAGGGGGACAGGCUACAUCGAGAAAGAAGAGGUAAAUACUUAAAUCAUUUUCUCAUCCAACCUAGUACAUGGUGCCCUUUAUUGUAACUAGGGGUGGACGCGGUCCGGGCCGGUCCGGUCCCUGACCGAGCCCUGCUUUGGACCGGCCGCGGCCGGUCCGGUCCGGACCGGACCGAAGUGGCUGGCGGUUCAUAUUUUCAGGACCGGACCGGCUGCAGCAAAGCUCGGUCAAGACCGAGAGGACCGACUGGACCGACCGAAUUUGUAUCCUGGGAGUGCGCUGGGAGGAUUUUUGGCUCUGUUUAGCCACUGUUUAGUCAUCCUUUUAUAUUUUGUAAAGCAAAUGGACCAAGAAUACAGCAUAUAUGAGACUAAUUUUGAACAUUUAGAAUGCUUGUUUCAAAAGAGGAUGGAAUCGACAAUAAAUAAGCAAGUUAUGCUAUAGAUUUACCAUGACAAGCUGAAGAAUGGAUGAAAGAUGAUGUAAGAAAAUUUUGGAAUUCAGUACUAACUGCUAACAAUGGUGUAUUCAACACUCAAUAGAUCAGUACGAACUGCUAACAAUUCAGUACUAAUUGUUGAAAAUUUUGGCACUGAAUACCUCGGUCAGAGAUGGGAUAAUGCAGAGGAGAGGACAGAGGAGAUCGAACAGGUGCAGGGGAGACGGCGUGCAGGUGCAGGCACAUCCUCCCCCUCCUCCAGCUUCGUGGUCAUCUCUUAUCGACAGCAGCGAGCCGGCGAGGAGGUGGUCGACGGCGGACAGGUGGAGACGGCGGCGGUCGACCCUCAACUCGACGGCAGGCAGCUGCACGCGCUGCGCUCCCUCCUCUUCUCCUCUUUCCCUCCAGUACUGCGGCUUCGUGGUCUACGGCGAGGUGGUUGACGACGGCAGCACCAGGAGGUGGUCGACGACGGAAGCCGGCGGAGGCGGCGCUCGACCGCUCGGGGUCGGGGGAGG